UUUAGCCAUGAAACCUCCCACAUGAAAAUGACAGGUGUUUCAGUUUCAUUGUCCAACCCCUGUAGAUUGAGAUUGUCACCUCUGUGUCACCUAGAAUUGUGAUAUUGGAACCAUUUGUAUCUGUCUGAAGCUUGCUUUCAAAAUCAGGCGUUACAACGCCAGCCAAGACUGAGAUUUUCUGCCGUCCUCAUCAAAAACUGGUAUAUUUAGGGGAGGAAGUGUGCCCACAGUGGAAACAUAACAGAAGAGCUGGUGUGAGCCCACAUAGCCAGGGGAAUGCUGCGGUCCCCUUCUCUGUCAAAGUAAAAACGGUGAGGUGCUAAACACCUUCCAUACCAGCAUUGGCAGGGGGGCUCACAAUGCCAUUAGAAAAAGUGUGGAGAAACACUGUGAGUGUCAAUACCUCAGGCUGGUUUUACUGCAAGACUCUGCAUGUCCAAGGUUGCUGCCUCAGUACCAGUAGAACAGAGCAGAAGACAGGAAGGUGCUGUGAAAAAUAUAAACACAGCGGAUUAUAUGGGGCAAGAGGUGUAGGUGGGGUGUGGAGGGUGGGUUUGUGCUCAAAGGAGGAAAAAUAAUAUUGUCACUGUUACCUGGCCUUUAUGAUCUUGUAGAGCAUUUAUGUACGGUGACAUUUAUGACUGAACCUGCAUAAAGCGGGAGAUACAUACAUUUGAAGAGAUAUACUGAGUUAGAAACACACAGUUGAAUGUUAUUGGAAAGAAAAGUCGACCAGGAUUUGAUGGGUUAAAUGACCGUGUCCCCCCUGUGUUGAGGGGGAAUGUGCUCCUGUGCUGUGAGCGAUUGCUUCCUCUCUCAGGGGUUCCAGCAUGGGGCCAGACUGGUGGCUGUUAGCUGGAGAUGGAUGACUCCUCAUCAUACCUCUGCCGACAAGUAGAGCGCAUAAGCAGAAAACAACGCUGAAAUCCUGAAAAAGCAACCAAAGCAACUACUGUAUGAACACAACUGACAGUAUGCUUACCUGGUUGAUUUUAAUGGAGGGGACAAAAGAAUAAAACAUAACUACAACAGUGUGAUGUAACAUUUGGGCUAAGACACAUUAUGUAGCAUGUCAUCACAGGAAGUCAUGAUUUCACUUAAUUACAGGAUCUCAGAUUGAAGCACAAAAUAAAUACACCACUUUAGUGUCAGUUGUUUUUCAAAUAAACUAAAUAGUCAGCACAUCCCUGAAUAGCAGCAAACAUUUUUGCUAAAGACAUGUUGUGCCUCUUAUUUGCUUCAGGAAUUGUUACUUUUAUUUGGGAAUGAUGUCACACCCAACUUCACUGUGUUCAAGUUUUAGGAUGAAAAACCAAUGGGAUUUGAUAAUUGUUAAGUUUAGUGACCAGUUCCACUGCACUUAGCAGUACAUGCCAACAGUAAUUUAUUUAGUUAAUUAAAAAAAACAGUUACAGAACUAUUCAUUUAUAGUCAUAUGACAUAAUUUUCUAAAAGGGACAGCUCCCUGAUUCUGAAAAGAAAUAAUACUGUCAAAAUAUGUUCAUAAUGUAAACAGACCUAAACUUUAUACAACUUCAUAAAGAAACUUUAGUAACUGUUGUAUGAAGUAUGUCCACACAGGCUUCCCAAAACAAAAAUACUGUUUGAGGCAACUGUGGGUUAUUAAGAACAUUAGUGAGAAAAUAUGUCAACAGAUAACACGAUGUCUUAAAGUUGCUCCAUUUUAUUUGUUUGAGCUUUUAAACAUUGUCUGUCAUGUAACAUGUUGGGUUAGAAAAUGUUACCAGUCUUUUGGAAGAAUUAGGUAAGGAUCUACAUUCUCCAAGAAAAAUCCAUGUGGUUUUAGUAAUGCUACUUGGGGUAAAUGCAGUAAUGGUUAAUGUAAAAUGCCUGUAAUAUUUCUUUUUUGUUUUAAAAAGGGAAAUAACUCUUUUUAAACAACUUUUCUCUUUCACACAUGAUGCCAUCUCUGCUCAUUUAUAUACGCAAUGACUGCUCAGGGCAGGAAGGCUAGAAAAACAUAUUUUGAAUUUUUCUCAUAUUAAAGAUGAGUAUGGGUAUGGGUAAAUAAGUCAAUUCAAGUAAGUCAUACAAUUCUGAUCCAUGCAUAUCUAGUUCAUUACCAUUGCUCUUUGUGACUAUUAUAGAGACAAAAACCAGUAUAAGUAGUAAUAACUUAAUUUUAUAGAUAGCAUAACAUGCUAUACUCAUUAUAUAUCUGAUUAUGAUGUCAAAGCUGGUGGGGAUCCUUUUGACUUUUCAAUUCAGAAUUCAAACUUACCAGAGGUUUCCAGAUGUUUUUUUUAACUUAAAAUGAAACAAAUGGACCAAAUGUGUGGCAUCAUUGUUAUGUAAAGAUGUGUGAUAAUGGGCAUGCAGCUCAGAGCUUAUCUAAGAUUUCUGAUGUGACAUUUCAAAAAUGUUGCAUAGGCUUGAUUCAUAUCUAAUUUAUUUAAAUUAAGUUUAGUUUAGGUGUUUUUUUUUUUUUAUAUUGCAACAAUUCACAACAAAUGUUCUCUCAAUGUAUUUUACAGUGGGUCAAAUGUAUAGCCAGUUCUGCCACAGAAUCCCCAUAUAUGAUAGAAUUGUAAAUUACAUAAAUAUAUUUGUAUUACUUUGUUGAACACAAUUAUUCUUGAAGGCUAAAAAAUUAGGUGAUAAAAAAAUUGGAAGGAAGACUGUCAGUGUGGUUGAUAUAGAAUAAUUUUAAUACACAACCUAAAGUAACUUUUCUCUGUCAAUUUUCUAACCAACACAACAGACUUUUAUGAAUGUUCCUUUCUGUUUUCAAUUAAUCAAUAAAGUUUAGUGUUUAUCUUUCAAAUUAAUUCUCCUUUUCUCCACCUGGUUCGUCUUGCCAUUCAGGUACAGCACAAAAAUAACUGCACUACCUGAAAUUAUAAGUCCGUGCAUGCUUUGAUUACUGAAAACUAUUUUUUAAGGAGUAUAAAUGUAAACAACCACUCAGUGGGUAAGAAGAUUGUGAAUUCCAGUUGACUUGAAAGUGGAGACAUGAAAUUGGUAAUGACAUCACAUGCAACUUUACCUCUUUCCAGCCACAAAUAGAAAACUGUUGGCACCUCUAAUUGGUGUGCUCAGUGACCAAGGUACCUCUUUUUCACAAUUCAAACAAUAACAAUAUAUUUUAAAGCCUUUGCAUAAAAAAAAAAAAAAAAAAAAAAAAAACGUCAGCAAAACGUUUACAAAUAGAAGUUAUGUUGUACUAAUAAUGCAACAAUGUCAUAUGUUGAAUAAGGUAUAAACUAACACAGAUUAAAAUAAAUGUAUGAUUACUCAGGCUAUCAAUGUAUUUUAUCCACAAAACAGUCAUGUUGUAUUGUGGAGUUGGGACUGGUGGCAAACCUCAGACUUUUUAACUUUUUUGUUCUGCAGCAGCAGCACUGUGAACAUUUUACACAUUUUAUUGCAAUACACAUGCUCUGUACAAAACACAAGUGCAUCAUAAUAAACACAUAUACUUCAUAUAUAUGACAUGACUUGAUGUUUCACAAUGCUCUUCAUUCCUUCAUUUUACACCCAUGUUGGACAUGUUUUUUUUUUUUUUUUUUCUAUUCACAAACACUUGCCUUGAAAGAAAAUGUAUGACACCAGCUUUAGAAUGUGAAACCUGCAGAAAUGAAGUCAAGAUUUCAAAUCAUGGGAAAGCUGUGAAAGGACCCAAAGACCCAAAGCUAACAAUAAAAUACCUACAGUAAUCACUGAAACUCUAAGAAGGUAUGUGUGCCCUCUUUUAGAAUAACACUGAAAAAGACAGAGGUUAAAUCUAGGCUAUAGUUUUCAAUUCAUCCAUCCGUCUGUCCGUCCAUUUAUCCGUCUGUCCAUCCAAUCAAUUUCUAAGGACAAAGGUAGUUUUUCCAAAUCAAGUCUUAAGAAAGUGAGAAUUUCUUUGCACGGACAUGGUCAUGACGUCUUCAUUAAAAGUUAAUUCUAAGAGUUCCCCUGACCCCAUAGUGAUGCAUAGCACAUAGCUCAACAUAGUUCAAAAGGAUUUAAUUUUAAAAGAAGGAAAGACAUUCUCCUCCCUCCAUGUGUUUUAAGCUUAGUUUACUUCAUCUUUCUUCUACAUGGUCCACAAAUCGGAGGUCACCCUCAAACCCCAGCAAAAAGAGUGGAUGGAUCCUGUGGUGUUGACUUUAACAUAAUGUCCUCCCUCCCCUCCAUGGUGUUCAGAGAGUCCUGAACAAUGUAUCUGAAGUGAAGUUCGCUCAGCAGGUGGAUGUUCAAAUGGGUCUCAAACCAGAGGCACAUUGGGAAAGAUCAAAUGGCUGCUGCCUUAAGGCCUGGCCAAAGUUUGACCUAAACCAAAAAAAACAAAAAAUCCUGUUCCAGACCAUUGGCGCUCACUACCCUCUCACUAAAACAACACAAAAGAAAGUGUGUGUCAAUAAACGUAUAGGUUAUUUUUUAAAUGGUGUGUAUGUGGGUCCAGAAAUGGUAAAAAAAGGACAUGUAAAGGUGUAGGCACACCUGAAAACUCUGACCUGAACUUAGGGAAAUGCACAGUUGACCUCUUUGUGGUUUGCCUUUUUAGAACUUGUUAUAUGGCACUGAAUGUGUCAAUGCAUGGACAUAUACCCAAUGUAUAAGAGGCAUUCUUAAAGUGUGGUUAAAAUUUCUUACAUGUUUGUGCCCACAUCAAAGAGCAAUGUUGAAGCUGUUUUUUUCUGUUUCACAGAAUAACUUGUUUUACAUUAAUCAAUAUGCACCCAUAUUCUCAGUUUUAGCUUUUAUUUAGUUUUAAAAUCACGUAACAUAUAAUUAUUUACAUAUAGAUCAAAUUUGUAGAAAACAUCUAAAAUAUAGAGAAUAGGCUAGUCAUGUGGUGCAGCUGAGACUUCUGAACAUCUUAAGAGCCACUGAUGACCACCAGCUGCUAGGCCCCGCCCUUUGCUCAGUGAGCGAUGGGCCAAACUUGACCUUCUCUCUGAGAGGCAUGGGCUUUGGAGCUGGGGGGAUUGAAUACAUCCUCUCAGAGUGAUAGCUGCUCCAGAGGCUGGAGGCACAGGAAACUCAACCUGCCAAUCACUCUCUGUUGUAUCAGAGAGACCCAGCAGUGACAUGCCAGACAUGCCACUGCAUCCAAGAGAAGCCAUCCAGAUGCUCAUGGGUCCAAGUAACCUGACAUGCAUCCUUUUGGACAGUGGAAGGAAGCCAGACCCACAGAGCUCUCAGUCAGCUAAAUGCUUGGUGCCCUGUAAGCGACCCCAGAGGAAAAAAGGGAAGGAGGAGCCACUUGGAACGUAUAUAGGAAGAGGUCUCCCAAACCCAACUUAGCCAACCCUGGGGUUGUCUCACUGCUUUGUUCUGCCUGUAACUUUGUCUUUGGCAGAAUUAAAGCUUCAGCUUUGUAUUUUUAUGUCUCCAGAAGAAUUUUUACUCUGUUUUUAGUUUUUUCCAGUAGACAUAAUAAGGUAUUUUUGAGUACCUUUUUGAGAUAUAUAUAACACUUGUGUAUUAAAGUUCAGGAGGCCAACAAGAUUAGAUAUGCUUUACACAAACUCCAUGGAAAAAGGGCCCAGGUGACCUUCUUGUUUGCUAACAACUGCACCACUGUGUAGUCCAAGUAAGAAGAAGACUGGGCAAAGGUUGCAUCCAUGGGGGAAUUUUAAGGCCAACACUGUUGACUAAAAGAGCAGAAAGACCUUAUAGUUCCCAAAAAAACAUGUUGAUGAUUCUCAAAGAAGAUAUUUUGUGGAUUGAUGAGACAAAACUGGACAUUUGGGAAAAUCUGGAAUUUAUGAACUUGUCAUGAAUUUAUCAGCAAGGCAUAAAACACACAGGAAACUAACAUCAGUUAGCACCUCAGCAAACACUUCCCUGUGCAAAAUCCUUAUUAGUGUUUGAUGCAUGUUUUCUUAAAACUUGGCUCAUGACUUGUUUCUAACUUUUGAUCUAAUCUUAAAGUGAGAUUUGGACCUGUAAACAUAACGUUUGAGAACUCCUGAUAAUAUAUUGUAAAUUAAAUGUUAUCUUUUGUUGAAAUUAUAGAUUUUAUUUGUGCAAAUUAGAAGCCUAUAUGAACACAUCUUGAGGUUUACUUGGCUGACUUUAAUUACAUAAUUUAAUUACAAAAUUUAAAAAAACUCCACUCAUAUCAUAACAGAAAGGGAAAGAUAAACACAGAAAUAAUCUUACUCAGAAGAUUAAAAAUGCAAUUAAACAUACUGGAAUCAAUCAAAUUCCAUUAAAAAAAUAAAAUAAAAUAACAACAUACUUUGAAAGAAAAACACAAAAUUAGUUUAGUAACUUUGUCCAACUCAUGAAAGUAUUUAGCAUUUUUUGGGGGAGAAAGUUAAGAACCUUGAUUUUUGUGUUUACACAAAUAAAGGUCUCACAAAUCAAACACUAUGUUUAAUAUAAUCUAAUUAGAGUGGAACUUUCAGUUCCAGUUUGACUAGUCCAUAUAUGGCAGUUUUUAUGUCCCAAAACAGUUGUCAACCUUAACGUUGUUUGCGUCUAAUGUUUAGACAGUCACAUUAUUCCAAUAGAGGUGUAAAUCAUUUGUAAUUUGAAUGUCACUCUUUCACCAUUAACUUUCUUAGACUGGGUACCCAGGUUAUUACCACACAAAUGGUUUUGAAGCAGUGAAGGCUUUUUCAGUGCUUUUGUAACUGAGUGUGGUCAGCUUGCUCAAACAGCACUCGUUAUUAGUUGAAACUGUCAACAAAACAUCACAACUCAAGAACUACUUUCUUUCUUACUUCAAAAUACAAAAACCACAGAUACAGUUGUGUUUUGUGAGGUCUGAGUCAGACAAAAAUGCAGACAAGAGGACAGAAAAAAAGUGAAGAAUAUUAAUAUAAACAAAGAACAAAAACUGGGCAGGAUGUAACAGAAAUAACCAGCAGUGAGCUAUGGAAACCAAAGAGUUUAAAUACAGAGAUGUGAUCAAAGACAUGGAAACCAGGUGAAUCUAAUCAGGGGAAUAUAGACCAGCUAUGAGAAAGGACCGAGCAGAUGAACACACAUGGAGUUUAACUUAGACACAAAAAGAUCUACAAAUCAAUUUGGAAAAAUCCUGAAACUAGCCAAAUUGCACAGAAGAAAGCACACAAGAAAUAACUAAACUCAUAGGAAUUAACUAAUAUGGAAUUACACUAAUGA